ensembl:snRNA U2 U2 spliceosomal RNA
AACUCUGUCUCGAGUUCAGUAUAGUAUGUUUCUCAUCAGUUUAAUAACUGAUGCGUCCUCGAACUGAGGACAAUAUACUAAAUGAAUCUUUGGAAAGGAAGAUGAAAUAGAAGCCUUCUCCAUCCACUGCACACACUGACCAGUAUCAUACUAUCUCUGAGAAUAGAGUAUCCCCU